GCAUAUCAAUAAGCGGAGGAAAAGAAACCAACAGGGAUUGCCUCAGUAACGGCGAGUGAAGCGGCAACAGCUCAAAUUUGAAAUCUGGCCGCAAGGUCCGAGUUGUAAUUUGCAGAGGAUGCUUUUGGUGAGGUGCUUUCCGAGUUCCCUGGAACGGGACGCCAUAGAGGGUGAGAGCCCCGUACGGUUACGCACCGAGCCUCUGUAAAGCUCCUUCGACGAGUCGAGUAGUUUGGGAAUGCUGCUCUAAAUGGGAGGUGUACGUCUUCUAAAGCUAAAUACCGGCCAGAGACCGAUAGCGCACAAGUAGAGUGAUCGAAAGAUGAAAAGCACUUUGAAAAGAGGGUUAAAAAGUACGUGAAAUUGUUGAAAGGGAAGCAUUUAUGACCAGACUUGGGCAUGGUUGAACAUCCGGCGUUCUCGCCGGUGCACUCUGCCAGCCCAGGCCAGCAUCAGUUUGCCCCGGGGGAUAAAGGCGGCGGGAAUGUAGCUCUCUCCGGGGAGUGUUAUAGCCCGUCGUGCAAUGCCCUGGGGCGGACUGAGGAACGCGC
rnacentral:sRNA from 1 species